rnacentral:misc_RNA from 1 species
AAUAUAUAGCGGACGAGUGCAUCUAAUAAUUUCUCGGGGCAUUCAUCUUUACUCUUUUGGUCCUGGGGAAACAGAACGAACACCUUCAUUUCCCUUCCCUAGAAGAAUUAGAGAUGAGAAUAAACCCAGGUGAUGCCCGGUGGAGGAAGACACUAUAACACGUGGAUGGUCUUCACAGUUACAAGAUUCUUCUUAAUUCAGUUAGCCGCUAACAUCGUCCAGUGGCUACCAGUGGCCGCAAUUGCUGAAUUUGAGGUCCACCUCUAUCCUUAAAAACUGACCAUGACACACCACACCACUUAGCAUCUUCCACUUGCUAAAUACCACAGGCAGGGCGCAGCCCAGAUUCUUCAGAUAAUCGUUAGUGAUGAAGAAGAUAAUGGAGGUGACAUGGCUGGCUGUGGUUUCUAUAUGAAAACAAGGUAAUGUCCUAUGAUUCUAAUCCAGAAUAGAGAAAAAUUAUAAAUGGAUGAGAUUUGGAUCAUUUUGUUUUGGAUGCUUCUGCUAUUUUCUAGCUCUAGAUUGAUACUUUCAUCCUUGAAAUGGUAUAUGGGCUAUGGAAAAAUCUUCACUGCGCUGGCACUGAUGUUUUCACUUGAUUGGGUCUUGUGUUUGUCUUAUGAUAGCAGAUUUCUCUUUCACAUCAAGACCCAAUCAACUAUUAUGAAGGCCUCGUGGGCAGAAAAUAAUAUAUGUGUCUCCAUUUUUCGAAUCUCAUAUAUGUGUUCAAUUGUCAGAUUGUUGGCCUCAAAUUUACUAAUGGGCUUGUACCGAUUUUUACUGGCCGAAACCCAACCCAUUUUCUAGAUUCUGUUGUUUACUUGUUUUUAAUCUUCCUUGAUGCAACCAUCAAGAACCUUGGCAAAACAAACGGGACUUCUAUUUUAG